UUUAUCCAAAACAUUCAGAUUAAAGUGGAUUUAUUAAGUCUAGAAAAUAAACUUUGGUCGAUAAAAAGAGUUUAACGAACAGUUUCAAUGGUUUUAUGCAGCGCGAACUUCGCUACGUCUGGGCCCGCGACACGGUCGGGCACGCGACACGCCCGUUCGCGAGCCACACGAAAAAAAGGCGCGCAUUUCUCAACCGCCGCCAGCGCGAGCGCACCGUCCGAACUGCCUCACUUCAUGUGAAAGAUACCCAGAGUUCUCCAUUACCUUUGUUGCCCUGUGGAUCGUUGAAACUGGACCUCAUCUUUUAAGCUAUUCUUUCUCCCGACCCUGCAGUGCAAAGCAUAACAUAAGAUUUUUGUUGCGAUGGAAAACUUUGAUCUUACAGAAACUCCCCUUAACAAUUAUUUAUGUGAAAAAGACUGUGAGACAUUAUUUACUAAACGAGCAAGAGUAAGCAGUGGUCUAGAAAAUGAAUAUCUUGCAACUGAAAAAUGUUUUGAAUGUAGCAGUGCUUCACAAAAUUUCAUAGAAACUUUGAAUACAAAGGCAAUCGGAGGCACUCCCGAGGAAGAAUUCCUAAAACUGCAGAGUUUAGAAGGUGGAGCAACUGGAGAUCAGCAUGCAAUGCAGAAAGAUAUUAAAUGCCCAGCAAAUACUGAAUCAGAAGACUUUACUGAAUGGGAUUUGACUCAAAGAAAAGAACAGCCAGUCACAGUAUUAUGUGUAGAAAGUGGCGUUAAAUGUUUGCUUAGAGAAAAUCUGGGUCAGGAAGGGCAAACACAAGGUCUUGAGAGUGAUGGGGACACAUCUCUUGUUUUUCACCUCGGAGGUGAUACAGGCGGUCCAUCACUAAUAGGUGAUAUGCAGAGGUAUUUACUGGAUUCCGAAAUGCCUGAUGUUGAAGAGGGAUCUAAAGACAACUGUGCUGAUCUAAACACAGUUACACAGUGGAGGACAGGUUCUGGAAACAGUGCUGAGACAGUGGACUGUGCUUUUGGAAAUACCACUGUGGAUGCAGCCCAACCAAGUUUGGACAAGACACCUUCAGUGAGUCAAGAUGCCAAUAAUGACAAUGAGCAUGAUGCAGAUCACGGUAGGAGCAGUGAAAAGAUGCCAGAGGUUGGUAUCUUGCUUACUGACCGUACAAACUCUUUGUCACAGUGUAAUGAGAAAAAUACCCCUUACGAUGUUACAAAAAUGGAAAAGAAUGAAAAGCAACAUGAAGGAAACAGAACAUCACUGAAGGUUGAUAAAAAACAUGGCAUGGAAGUCUGCAGAAUGGAAGAAAAAGCUAACAGCAUGCAUACUGAGUGUGCUAUACCUGAAAUGAUUGUAUAUAUCAAUGACCCUGUUGAUGCUAAAUCAAAAAAUAAUUUAGGGAGCAAUCUAGCCAGAAACAAUAUGGAGCUACAUCAUAUUCUCAGUGUAUCAGCAAGGGAGAAUCCAUUUUGUAAAGCUGCUGAAAAUUCUCGAUGUGAAGAAUACAUGGCUGGUAGAGGGCAGGAAAAGGACAGUUCAAAAACAGCAGCUGAUGUGAGGAAGGUGUCCAUUGUAACUGAGGCUGAUGUUGGCAGUGAAUCCAACAGAAUGGGACAAUCCAAACACAUUGCAACAAGGUCUGACACACAAAGGCUAGGGAAGCAAUCUGUAAAAAUAUUAGAAAAAAUAAACAGAAAUCAGCGAGACAGAUGUGAAGAAAGACACGGGAGGGAACAUGAUGAAGUUACAGAUGAUUCCUCUGUCGCCAUUUAUUACAGCAAAUAUAAACUGGAUGAAUUUCCUGUUACAAAGAGUGAUGUACUCACAGACAGCUCACUUCCAGUGAUGCUACAGGAAGAUGAAACGAUUGUAGAAGAUGGAAAGAAGAGUCUGAACAAUACACUAAUAGCCAACAUACAGUAUGGUGCCACGCAGAUUGGGGCAGAAGAUUUAAAUGAAAAUGUACACACAGAUACUCAUAUUGCUGAACAACAUUGCCCUGCCAGAGAUGAAACUGAAAUAGAAAACAGUGAAGAGCAUAGCUGUAAGAAAUUUUCCCCAAAAAGCACUUCUUUCUCUGUAAAUUAUAUAAAACUUUCAGAUGGAAAUAGUGUAGAAAUAGACAUUAGAUGUCCUUAUAGCAGUACAGUUUCCAGCAAACCUAUCCAUCAUGAGAGUAACUCUGACAGCACAGUAUCUCUUUUGAAUAAUCAGACAGGAAAACAAAUAGAAUGUUAUUCCAGUAAUACAGCUUUACAUACCGGGUUAGAAAACCCAAAUCAGGAACAAAUUUGUAGUAUCACUUCAAACAAACCUUCAAAGGAACUACCGAAUUUAUGCAACAUUGAAACUGUUACUGCUGCACAGAGUGAUGCUUGGAUUGAAAAAGACGUUCAUGAACAGCAAGAGAAAGUGCUAAAUGAAGAGGUCAAAGAGAGUAUGUCAGCAAAUAGCCGUGUUGAGGUAACUCAAGCAAUUGUCCCUGAAGGGAACUAUUUAUCUGAUGCCUUUCUGCCCAGUGAUGCAGUUGUGCCUCAGUGCAACUCUGAUCCGGUGGAUGAACAAGUCGGGGACAAAAAAGAAAAUGCUGCUCAGUCACCUCUUCCCUUCAUUCCUCACCCUGCUCCUGUAGCUCUGGACACUUUUGAAAAAAUUCAGCUGAUUCCUGAGGCAGAACUUGAAUGCAGUUUUCUUCUGAAUCCUAUUCCAAGUAGGAUAUUUAUGUCAGAGUCAAAUUCAGAUAUUAUGGAACCUUUGAAUGAGUCCAAACUGAUUCAACUAUCAAAUGAGCAAACUUUAGGUUGCUGCAGCACCAGUAAGCUAUUUACUGAAAAUAAAUGCCUUGAAGUUCGUUCUGGACACAGGUUUGCCCUUUGUAACAGCAGAAAUCAGAUGCACUCUAGUUACAGUGCCUGGGAUGAGAAGUAUAUUAACAAUGUUGUUUAUGGUAUGAAACAAGAGAAUCAGAUACCCUUAUAUUCACAACUUACUGCAACAGAAUGUUCUCAGGAGGCAGAGAAUUCAGUGGUCACUGCUGGUGGAAGUCCACCACAGAAUGUUUUACCUGAAGUCAAACAAUUCCCCUUAGAACUGACAGAAAAAAAAGGCAUCUGCACUUCAGAUGCAGAGGACAGAAACAUGUCUACUCUUGAAGUAAAACAGAAGUUUAACUUGGUACUUGAGGAGCUGCGUCUAUUUCAAGAAAUAAGUUCAGAAGCCGAAAAACUGCCUAGACACACAGAGUUUGCAACAAUGGCAAACACCAACCCUGAUGGGGAAAAUUCUGAUUUUGGUACUGGAUAUAUGAGAACUUCAAAAACACAACAUGAUGGCAUUCAUAAAGGUUUACAUUGCUCUAUGAUGGGAACUGUUACAGAAUGUUCAGAGAAUAAAAACAACAGUAGAAGUUCUGAAAGUGAGCAGGAAGUGCCUUUGGAAUGUGGUCACAUGGCAAUAGAGGUGGAAGAUUCAAUGUACUCUGCUGUCAAACAGAAAGAUGGGUGUAGAGAUACUUUGAAUGGAUGUAAAAACUGGACACCUGCUUUCUCAUUCUCUCCCUCCUUUGUUGGACAAAAUGAAGGACUAGCUGAGCAUCCUAGAAGACUGGAACCUUUAAAAACAUGCAGUCGUCCUAUAAGAGUUGGACUUUCCAAAAGAGCCAGACCCAAGCAGCUUCAUCGAUACCUCAAGCGAGGGUAUCAGACAUAAACACCAAGGCCUUGUUAAGCUUGGUCCUGAAACACCACAGUACAUUAGGUAUUGUAAGUUAUUUCCUAAGUUACUUAUUGCCAAAAAACCAAAAAGAUUAGACUUCUUAAAACUUGAUUAUGAGGUGAUUAUUAGGUGCCUCGAGUCCUUUAAACAGUUCUUUUAGGCUUAUAAGGAGCAUAAGCUUGGCCAGGAUAUGACUAGCUUAGGCAGUUGAUGCUUGUGCCUCACAGAGUUCAAGCAAGUUACAUCCAAAUAAAUAUUAAGGCGGCUUGCUUGACCA
ensembl:lncRNA